GAUGAACGCUGGCGGCGUGCCUAAUACAUGCAAGUAGAACGCUGAAGGAAGGAGCUUGCUCUUUCCGGAUGAGUUGCGAACGGGUGAGUAACGCGUAGGUAACCUGCCUGGUAGCGGGGGAUAACUACUGGAAACGAUAGCUAAUACCGCAUAACAGUAGAUGUUGCAUGAUAUCUACUUAAAAGGUGCAAUUGCACCACUACCAGAUGGACCUGCGUUGUAUUAGCUAGUUGGUGAGGUAACGGCUCACCAAGGCGACGAUACAUAGCCGACCUGAGAGGGUGAUCGGCCACACUGGGACUGAGACACGGCCCAGACUCCUACGGGAGGCAGCAGUAGGGAAUCUUCGGCAAUGGACGGAAGUCUGACCGAGCAACGCCGCGUGAGUGAAGAAGGUUUUCGGAUCGUAAAGCUCUGUUGUAAGAGAAGAACGAGUGUGAGAGUGGAAAGUUCACACUGUGACGGUAUCUUACCAGAAAGGGACGGCUAACUACGUG
rnacentral:rRNA from 1 species